CGUUAACUGUUUCUUCAAUUCCACUCACUGCAACAUCUUCUUCCUCUUUAAAUCCUUUCUGUUUUACAAUUUGCAUGGCCUUCUCAUAGAGCUCAAAUGCCAUUUCGAACUGUUUGUUCAAUCUAUAUGAUUUUCCUAAACCAAGGUAUACUGGAAUUUCUCGCGUUUUAUCCUCUAGUUCUCUUGCAAUUUUCAAGGCUUUUUCAAAGUUUUCAAGAUCAUGGUAUACAUCUGUUUCCUGUUCUGUAUCUCCACGUUCUUUUACAAUUUCCAAGGCUUUCUGGUAGUACUGAAUAGCCGUUUCAAACUGAUUUUUCAAUCCAUAUGCAUGUCCGAAACCAAUGUACGCAACUGUUUCCUGCUCUGUAUCUCCA